GGGCGAUUAGUUUAGUGGUAGAACGGAGGUCUCCAAAACCUCUAGCGGGGGUUCGAUUCCCUCAUCGCCCGCCA
rnacentral:tRNA from 1 species